rnacentral:rRNA from 1 species
CGGGUGAGUAAUACAUCGGAACGUGUCUUCUAGUGGGGGAUAACUGCCCGAAAGGGCAGCUAAUACCGCAUGAGACCUGAGGGUGAAAGCGGGGGAUCGCAAGACCUCGCGCUGGAAGAGCGGCCGAUGUCCGAUUAGCUAGUUGGUGAGGUAAGGCUCACCAAGGCGACGAUCGGUAGCUGGUCUGAGAGGACGACCAGCCACACUGGGACUGAGACACGGCCCAG